AAUUUAUCCUACAUAAUUUAAGUGUCAGGCUCAAAAAGGAGGGAGGGAGAGGUGGAGUGGUCUGUAAUGCUUGGGACCAGUAUCUUGGGAUGGAGCAUACUGACACUGCACUCUACAUGAUCUAUACAGUGAAUCAGACUUUUUUUGGAAGGAGUGCAAUUCAUUAAUUCGAUAAUGUUUACAAUCAAGAUGUACAAACUCAUGAACACAAGCAGUAGAUUGGUCUCUCCAAACCGCAGAGUGCAUACAACCUUAUGGAAAGGUUUCAGCGGUAAGCAAAGCCGUGUUGCCGAGAUCACAGCCUCAAAGAUAAGGUGCUGGAGUUGAUGUUUCUCUUUCUAUCCUCUAGAUUUGUGUGCCUAUAAGAUAGGAGUAAGAUCAAUGAAUGAACUUGAUCAGUCCAGUUCACCUGGUCUAUUUGAUCAUCUUUUGGUGAAUGAUGACCUUGAAACUUGCUAUGAAAAAAGGUAAUUCAUGCAGAUCAUUGCUACCUUGCCUAACCUUUUUACAUUGCUAAUAUAAUUAUUAUUAUUGUUUGAGCUCAACUUCCAUUUUCUAUAUCUGAUAUAUUAUGAGCUAUAAGAAUCUGGCCUGUACUUCCAUCAUCUGGAACUAUGCAUAUCUCAGGUUCAAAUAAUGCAAAUUAGUUGUUUAGUAGUAGUUAAAAAAGUUAAUGUCUUUUUUAUUCCGGUCUCCUGAGGGGAUUUGAUUUAAUUUAAGGAGAUCUUUGGAUCUUAUCAUUUUUCUAGAUGCAUGUGGGGGUAGGCUCAUGACCAAAUGCUAAUGAGUCUUUUGUACUGAUGUAGUGAUGACGCCGAUUUCUUUAGAAAGUUGGCAAAGGGGGAAUCAGUCAUGGUGUUGCCUGGCAUUCAAAACUGGCUGCGCAUAACCUUUGCUACGGAUCCAGCAAAAUUGAAGCAAGGAAAAGGUUGAGAUGCUGGGCAGAACCCUGAUGCAUAGGAGAGCCUGGUGCUCUUCUAUGUUUUGUAAUAUUCAUUAUUCAGUAGACAUCUGAUGACUAGGAUAGCUUCAUGCUCGGAUAUGCUGGAGUAUUUAUGAUUCAAAUGCCGGAUAUAUAUCUAUAUUAACAUGAUGAUAUACUUGCUACUGGAUGUGGUAGUUUCGUAUUGUCAUGCAUAUAGUUUAAUUAAUAUUUUUUAUUGUCUUAUAAUUA